rnacentral:other from 1 species
AGAUCUCUGGGAUGUGCGUAAGCAACCUGUUAUAUCCCUUGAGCCUUAAAUACUGUCUUUGGGAGUUGGACUGUUGAAGCCGUGUGCAUUACCGCUAGUCGGGAAGCCUAACGUUUCGUCGCUGAUUCCCCCCUGAACUUACCGGUUCAAGGUCUUCAGUAUUGCUACGGCAUUUCUGGAGGUGUC